rnacentral:rRNA from 1 species
AACGAACGCUGGCGGCAGGCUUAACACAUGCAAGUCGAACGCGUCCUUCGGGGUGAGUGGCAGACGGGUGAGUAACGCGUGGGAACGUGCCCUUCAGUUCGGGAUAACCCAGGGAAACUUGGGCUAAUACCGGAUACGUGCGAGAGCAGAAAGAUUUAUCGCUGAAGGAUCGGCCCGCGUCUGAUUAGCUAGUUGGUGAGGUAAUGGCUCACCAAGGCGACGAUCAGUAGCUGGUCUGAGAGGAUGAUCAGCCACAUUGGGACUGAGACACGGCCCAAACUCCUACGGGAGGCAGCAGUGGGGAAUAUUGGACAAUGGGCGCAAGCCUGAUCCAGCCAUGCCGCGUGAGUGAUGAAGGCCUUAGGGUUGUAAAGCUCUUUCGUCCGGGACGAUAAUGACGGUGCCGGAAGAAGAAGCCCCGGCUAACUUCGUGCCAGCAGCCGCGGUAA